rnacentral:rRNA from 1 species
AGCGAACGCUGGCGGCAGGCUUAACACAUGCAAGUCGAGCGCUCGUAGCAAUACGGGAGCGGCAGACGGGUGAGUAACACGUGGGAACGUACCUUUUGGUUCGGAACAACACAGGGAAACUUGUGCUAAUACCGGAUAAGCCCUUACGGGGAAAGAUUUAUCGCCGAAAGAUCGGCCCGCGUCUAGAUUAGCUAGUUGGUGAGGUAACGGCUCACCAAGGCGACGAUCAGUAGCUGGUCNGAGAGGAUGAUCAGCCACAUUGGGACUGAGACACGGCCAAACUCCUACGGGAGGCAGCAGUGGGGAAUAUUGGACAAUGGGCGCAAGCCUGAUCCAGCCAUGCCGCGUGAGUGAUGAAGGCCUUAGGGUCGUAAAGCUCUUUUGUGC